CCUACGGGAGGCAGCAGUAGGGAAUCUUCCACAAUGGGCGCAAGCCUGAUGGAGCAACACCGCGUGAGUGAAGAAGGGUUUCGGCUCGUAAAGCUCUGUUGUUGGAAAAGAACGUGCGUGAGAGUAACUGUUCACGCAGUGACGGUAUCCAACCAGAAAGUCACGGCUAACUACGUGCCAGCAGCCGCGGUAAUACGUAGGUGGCAAGCGUUAUCCGGAUUUAUUGGGCGUACAGCGAGCGCAGGCGGUUGCUUCGGUCUGAUGUGAAAGCCUUCGGCUUAACCGAAGAAGUGCAUCGGAAACCGGGCAACUUGAGUGCAGAAGAGGACAGUGGAAUUCCAGGUGUAGCGGUGGAAUGCGUAGAUAUAUGGAAGAACACCAGUGGCGAAGGCGGCUGUCUGGUCUGCAACUGACGCUGAGGCGCGAAAGCAUGGGUAGCGAACAGGAUUAGAUACCCCGGUAGUC
rnacentral:rRNA from 1 species